ACCCCAUGGUGAGGACAGGCGGCCACGUACUCCUACAGUCGUUCCCAUGCUUCAGGAAUGGACUCGUCUCAUGUCUGCUGGAAACUUGAAAUCCUUCCACGAUGAGCGU
rnacentral:snoRNA from 1 species